UGUGGAGGAAAUGCCUAACUCACUGAGGGUUUGAGACCCAUCAGCUACCCUUACCUGGUUUAGCCAGCCAGUCAAAGCCAUUCCCCGGGGUGUGACGAUGUUGCAUGCUGACAGCUUCUAGGAGCCACAGGAUUCCUUACAUGCCCUUCACUGCCAGGUCCCAGGGCAGGUUACGACAAUAGCACCUGCAAUUAUGAAAACAGCAAAAACCCAUGACGCAUAAAACCAUUCCAAAUGGAACAGAACAAUAUAAAUUCAGCCAAAGAGAGAGCCCAUGGGAUGAUAAAAGUGUGCAUUCUCAUCGCAUCAAGUCCAGCAAAGGCAUCUUCUUCAGUUAUUUCAGUCCUCAAAAAUUACUGA